rnacentral:rRNA from 1 species
CCUACGGGGGGCUGCAGUGGGGAAUAUUGCGCAAUGGGCGAAAGCCUGAUGCAGCGACGCCGCGUGAGGGAUGAAGGUCUUCGGAUCGUAAACCUCUGUCAGCAGGGAAGAACGGUCACUGUGCUAAUCAGCAGUGAAUUGACGGUACCUGCAAAGGAAGCACCGGCUAACUCCGUGCCAGCAGCCGCGGUAAGACGGAGGGUGCGAGCGUUAAUCGGAAUUACUGGGCGUAAAGCGCUCGUAGGCGGUAUGUCAAGUCAAGGGUGAAAUCCCCGCGCUCAACGUGGGAACUGCCUUUGAAACUGGCAAACUGGAGUGUGUGAGAGGAUAGUGGAAUGCCAGGUGUAGGAGUGAAAUCCGUAGAUAUCUGGAGGAUCAUCAGUGGCGAAGGCGACUAUCUGGCACAUAACUGACGCUGAGGAGCGAAAGCGUGGGUAGCAAACAGGAUUAGAUACCCUAGUAGUC